rnacentral:lncRNA from 1 species
GCAGUCUCUGGAUGGUUCGCUGUAGCCACAGCUCUCUGACCCAACACAUCCGUGUCACAGUGCCUUCUCCAUGCCGAUCCCAACGCCAAGCCAAGCCUCCCUGUGAGGGAGGUUGGAAACGUUACCAAAGCCCGUGGACCAGCAGUGAAUAAUGUUUACCAGAGAUCUGGCUCACCAAGUUCUUAGUGCCUUCGAGCUAGCAAGGCCAAAGGGGCUGCAGCAGGACAUCAUGCCCGAGCCACCGUUGGAUCAGCAGCCCAGAAAGCAGAUGUGCCAAUUUCCUGUCCUUGAUGAUGAUGGGCCCUAAUUACGCCAGAGCUGUGGCUAUGUCCUUUCUUGUGUAUGACCCCUAAUUUGGUUUCAUGAAGUCGUCUGUGCCAGGUUCUUCCGGCUGCAAGGCUGGGCCCCUGCUCUUGGCUGCAACACCAUUCUGCUGCUCCGUGUAACUUCAGGUCAGUGAAGAUUUCUACACCAAACUCCAGCCAGACCAUCUAGAGGAUGUGCUUGGGGAAACGCCACAUUCAGAAGGAUUUUGUGCUCCUGUCCUUGCAAGAGCCAUCAGAACCAGCCGCACUUCAGAGAAUGAGCCAGAGUCACCAUGGGCUUGGAAAGUUGCUGGGGAAAGCUCAAGAGUUUCAAAAUGGUGCUGGAUCUCAUAAAAGGAAGUCUGAUGGAUUCAGCAGAGUUCAUAUAAACACCCCAGGAAGAACAGGGGAAAAUAACCCAGCAGCUCAUGUGCAGGUAAUCAGAGGUGAUGCAGUCCAGGUGGAGGGACUGGGGUGCAGAGACGAGGGUCUCAAUGAGAACAAUAGGAGAGGCUUGUUGAGGGAUGUGUUGUUG